CACAAAAAAUAUGAAGGCUGACUGCAGCUGACCUACAUGGCCAGUUUGCUCGAGGCUGAAUUAUUUUUUCACCCAUGUCUUUUGCGCACUUGUUGUUUCCUGGGCGGGUUCGCCCGCCACCAGGACCACACCAUAAACCUUUUUAUCUGUAGUUGCAAUCAGCGUCAGUAACAAGUAAAUAAUCAUUUA
rnacentral:misc_RNA from 1 species